GAUGAACGCUGGCGGCGUGCCUAAUACAUGCAAGUCGAGCGAACGGACGAGAAGCUUGCUUCUCUGAUGUUAGCGGCGGACGGGUGAGUAACACGUGGAUAACCUACCUAUAAGACUGGGAUAACUUCGGGAAACCGCAGCUAAUACCGGAUAAUAUUUUGAACCGCAUGGUUCAAAAGUGAAAGACGGUCUUGCUGUCACUUAUAGAUGGAUCCGCGCUGCAUUAGCUAGUUGGUAAGGUAACGGCUUACCAAGGCAACGAUGCAUAGCCGACCUGAGAGGGUGAUCGGCCACACUGGAACUGAGACACGGUCCAGACUCCUACGGGAGGCAGCAGUAGGGAAUCUUCCGCAAUGGGCGAAAGCCUGACGGAGCAACGCCGCGUGAGUGAUGAAGGUCUUCGGAUCGUAAAACUCUGUUAUUAGGGAAGAACAUAUGUGUAAGUAACUGUGCACAUCUUGACGGUACCUAAUCAGAAAGCCACGGCUAACUACGUG
rnacentral:rRNA from 1 species